rnacentral:rRNA from 1 species
UGAGGAAUAUUGGUCAAUGGGCGGGAGCCUGAACCAGCCAAGUCGCGUGAGGGAAGACGGUCCUACGGAUUGUAAACCUCUUUUGCCAGGGGACAAAGGCGGGGACUAGUCCCCGGAUGAGGGUACCUGAAGAAAAAGCAUCGGCUAACUCCGUGCCAGCAGCCGCGGUAAUACGGAGGAUGCGAGCGUUAUCCGGAUUUAUUGGGUUUAAAGGGUGCGUAGGCGGAAUGCCAAGUCAGCAGUAAAAUCGCGGGGCUCAACCUCGCUCCGCCGUUGAAACUGGCGUUCUUGAGUGGGCGAGAAGUAUGCGGAAUGCGUGGUGUAGCGGUGAAAUGCUUAGAUAUCACGAAGAACUCCGAUUGCGAAGGCAGCUCACUAGACUGCAACUGACACUGAUGCUCGAAAGUGUGGGUAUCAAACAGG